rnacentral:tRNA from 2 species
GGGCGCAUAGCUCAGUUGGUUAGAGCGCUGUGUUCACAUCGCAGAGGUCCCAAGUUCGAAUCUUGGUGCGCCCACCA